GUCUCUGUGGCGCAAUCGGUUAGCGCAUUCGGCUGUUAACCGAAAGGUCUGGUGGUUCAAUCCCACCCAGGGACG